rnacentral:rRNA from 1 species
AUUGAACGCUGGCGGCAUGCCUUACACAUGCAAGUCGAACGGUAACGCGGGGCAACCUGGCGACGAGUGGCGAACGGGUGAGUAAUGCAUCGGAACGUGCCUGGUAGUGGGGGAUAACUGCUCGACAGAGCAGCUAAUACCGCAUACGACAUGAGGGUGAAAGGGGGGGAUCGCAAGACCUCUCGCUAUCAGAGCGGCCGAUGUCGGAUUAGCUAGUUGGUGGGGUAAAGGCCCACCAAGGCAACGAUCCGUAGCUGGUCUGAGAGGACGACCAGCCACACUGGGACUGAGACACGGCCCAGACUCCUACGGGAGGCAGCAGUGGGGAAUUUUGGACAAUGGACGCAAGUCUGAUCCAGCCAUGCCGCGUGCGGGAAGAAGGCCUUCGGGUUGUAAACCGCUUUUGUCAGGGAAGAAAUCUUCUGGGCUAAUACCCUGGGAGGAUGACGGUACCUGAAGAAUAAGCACCGGCUAACUACGUGCCAGCCGCCGCAGUAAUAC